rnacentral:rRNA from 1 species
CCUACGGGAGGCAGCAGUGAGGAAUAUUGGUCAAUGGCCGAGAGGCUGAACCAGCCAAGUCGCGUGAGGGAUGACGGCCCUACGGGUUGUAAACCUCUUUUGUCGGGGAGCAAAGAGAGUCACGUGUGGCUCAUUGAGAGUACCCGAAGAAAAAGCAUCGGCUAACUCCGUGCCAGCAGCCGCGGUAAUACGGAGGAUGCGAGCGUUAUCCGGAUUUAUUGGGUUUAAGGGGUGCGUAGGCGGACUGUUAAGUCAGCGGUAAAAGCCCGGGGCUAAACCCCGGCGAGCCGUUGAAACUGGCAGUCUUGAGAUGUCGAGAGGUAUGCGGAAUGCGCAGUGUAGCGGUGAAAUGCUUAGAUAUUGCGCAGAACUCCGAUUGCGAAGGCAGCAUACCGGCGGCGAUCUGACGCUGAGGCACGAAAGCGUGGGUAUCGAACAGGAUUAGAUACCCGUGUAGUC